GGUAACAUCAAAUCGUACCCCAAACCGACACAGGUGGUCAGGUAGAGAAUACCAAGGCGCUUGAGAGAACUCGGGUGAAGGAACUAGGCAAAAUGGUGCCGUAACUUCGGGAGAAGGCACGCUGAUACGUAGGUGAAGUCCCUUGCGGAUGGAGCUGAAAUCAGUCGAAGAUACCAGCUGGCUGCAACUGUUUAUUAAAAACACAGCACUGUGCAAACACGAAAGUGGACGUAUACGGUGUGACGCCUGCCCGGU
rnacentral:rRNA from 1 species